CAGGCCUAACACAUGCAAGUCGAGCGGACAGAUGGGAGCUUGCUCCCUGAUGUUAGCGGCGGACGGGUGAGUAACACGUGGGUAACCUGCCUGUAAGACUGGGAUAACUCCGGGAAACCGGGGCUAAUACCGGAUGGUUGUUUGAACCGCAUGGUUCAGACAUAAAAGGUGGCUUCGGCUACCACUUACAGAUGGACCCGCGGCGCAUUAGCUAGUUGGUGAGGUAACGGCUCACCAAGGCAACGAUGCGUAGCCGACCUGAGAGGGUGAUCGGCCACACUGGGACUGAGACACGGCCCAGACUCCUACGGGAGGCAGCAGUAGGGAAUCUUCCGCAAUGGACGAAAGUCUGACGGAGCAACGCCGCGUGAGUGAUGAAGGUUUUCGGAUCGUAAAGCUCUGUUGUUAGGGAAGAACA
rnacentral:rRNA from 1 species